CUAAGUGGAACUUCUUUUGAGGUUAAUGUUUAUAUACAAUUACUUUAACAUUGGAUUUGGGAAAUGGAACAACCUACUGCGGAUCUUUCUGCUACCGAUGAAAGAAGAAGGUUGAGUUUUACCUUCUAGAGCUUUACAGUGUAAACAAGCAGUAUUAGGUUUUGUUUUUACCUUCUCCCCUUUGGCCCCAUCACAGAAGCACUGGCCUUUGUCUUUACAGACACAACCCUAGGAAGAGGGAAAGAGAAAGGGUUUUGUUUAGAAACAGCUGAAUAAAUCCCAACCGGCAGGGUAAAAGCAAAUGCAUUUCUCUGUUCUUCGAGUAUUGGACACUAUCCGUUAGGAGCCAGGUGACCUUGUAGCAAUAUAUCAAUAGAAAUAUAUCAAUAUAUGAAUAGCAAUAAAGUAGAAAACUGAGA
rnacentral:antisense_RNA from 1 species